CCCAUAUAUGUCCAAUAUAGCCAUCGGUUGUCAGGUGGUGAAGAUGGUGUAAGAUGGUGUCAGACGCUUUGUUUGUCAGAUGCUUGUAGCGUGGUGUCGGAUGGUGUAUAGCAUGGUUCAGCUGAACAGUGUUGUCAGGUGGUGAAGAUGGUGUAAGAUUGUGUCAGAUGCUUUGUUUGUCAGACGCUUGUAGUGUGGUGUCGGAUGGUGUACACCAUCUGACAACCAUCUGACACACUUCGACCAUCAUACACCAUCUGUACCAUCUUCACCGUCUGAUAAACCUUCCCUGUAUAACCACCCUACACCAUCAUACACCAUCUGACACAUUUCGACCAUCAUACACCAUCUGUACCAUCUUCACCAUCUGACAACCCUUCCCUGUAUAACCACACUACACCAUCAUACACCAUCUGACAACCAUCUGACACACUUCGACCAUCAUAACCAUCAUACACCAUCUGACAACCAUCUGACACACUUUGACCAUCAUACACGAUCAUACACCAUCUGACAACCAUCUGGCACACUUCGACCAUCAUACACCAUCUGUACCAUCUUCACCGUCUGACAACCCUUCCCUGUAUAACCACACUACACCAUCAUACACCAUCUGUCAACCAUCUGACACACUUUGACCAUCAUACACGAUCAUACACCAUCUGACAACCAUCUGACACACUUCGACCAUCAUACACCAUCUGUACCAUCUUCACCGUCUGACAACCCUUCCCUG